rnacentral:rRNA from 1 species
CCCUUAGAUGUCCUGGGCCGCACGCGCGCUACACUGAACGGAUCAGCGCGUUUUCCCUUCCCGAGAGGGACGGGUAACCUGCUGAACCCCGUUCGUGGUAGGGAUCGGGGCUUGCAAUUAUUCCCCGUGAACCAGGAAUGCCCAGUAAGUGCAAGUCAUAAGCUUGCGUUGAUUACGUCCCUGCCCUUUGUACACACCGUCCGUCGCUACUACCGAUUGAACGUUUUAGUGAGGUACUCGGACUGAGCCUCAGAAGAUUCACGUCUUUUGUGCUGCUCGGGAAGAUUCCCAAACUUGAGCGUUUAGAGGAAGUAAAAGUCGUAACA